UCCGAGUUGACCCCGGCAGUCUCCUAUGAGUCCCCGCCAUUACGCGCUGGCAACAUAGGACGAGGGUUGCGCUCGUUGCGGGACUUAAGCCAACACCUCACGGCACGAGCUGACGACAGCCAUGCAGCACCUGUGCUAGCCCCUUACGGACACGGGCUUUCACCCGCUUUAACUAGCAUGUCAAACCCAGGUAAGGUUCUUCGCGUUGCGUCGAAUUAAACCACAUGCUCCGCUGCUUGUGCGGGUCCCCGUCAAUUCCUUUGAGUUUUAGCCUUGCGGCCGUAGUUCCCAGGCGGUUCACUUAAUGCGUUAGCUGCGGCACCGAGGCAAAGCCCCAACACCUAGUGAACAUCGUUUAUGGCUAAGACUAC
rnacentral:misc_RNA from 1 species